AAUAGAUACCCUGGUAGUCCACGCCGUAAACGAUGGGCACUAGGUGUGGGAGGUGUCGACUCCUUCCGUGCCGAAGCUAACGCAUUAAGUGCCCCGCCUGGGGAGUACGGCCGCAAGGCUAAAACUCAAAGGAAUUGACGGGGGCCCGCACAAGCAGCGGAGCAUGUGGUUUAAUUCGAUGCAACGCGAAGAACCUUACCAAGGCUUGACAUGCACGGGAAGCCACCAGAGAUGGUGGUCUCUUUGGACACUCGUGCACAGGUGGUGCAUGGUUGUCGUCAGCUCGUGUCGUGAGAUGUUGGGUUAAGUCCCGCAACGAGCGCAACCCUCGUCCCAUGUUGCCAGCGGGUUAUGCCGGGGACUCAUGGGAGACUGCCGGGGUCAACUCGGAGGAAGGUGGGGAUGACGUCAAAUCAUCAUGCCCCUUAUGUCUUGGGCUUCACGCAUGCUACAAUGGCCGGUACAAAGGGCUGCGAUACCGUAAGGUGGAGCGAAUCCCAAAAGCCGGUCUCAGUUCGGAUUGGGGUCUG
rnacentral:rRNA from 1 species